GUGCAUGGGGCGUGCUACACAUGCAGUCGAGCGAUGAAGCCCUUCGGGGUGGAUUAGUGGCGAACGGGUGAGUAACACGUGGGCAAUCUGCCCUUCACUCUGGGACAAGCCCUGGAAACGGGGUCUAAUACCGGAUACGACCUGCCGAGGCAUCUCGGCGGGUGGAAAGCUCCGGCGGUGAAGGAUGAGCCCGCGGCCUAUCAGCUUGUUGGUGGGGUAAUGGCCUACCAAGGCGACGACGGGUAGCCGGCCUGAGAGGGCGACCGGCCACACUGGGACUGAGACACGGCCCAGACUCCUACGGGAGGCAGCAGUGGGGAAUAUUGCACAAUGGGCGCAAGCCUGAUGCAGCGACGCCGCGUGAGGGAUGACGGCCUUCGGGUUGUAAACCUCUUUCAGCAGGGAAGAAGCGCAAGUGACGGUACCUGCAGAAGAAGCGCCGGCUAACUACGUGCCAGCAGCCGCGGUAAUACGUAGGGCGCAAGCGUUGUCCGGAAUUAUUGGGCGUAAAGAGCUCGUAGGCGGCUUGUCACGUCGGGUGUGAAAGCCCGGGGCUUAACCCCGGGUCUGCAUCCGAUACGGGCAGGCUAGAGUGUGGUAGGGGAGAUCGGAAUUCCUGGUGUAGCGGUGAAAUGCGCAGAUAUCAGGAGGAACACCGGUGGCGAAGGCGGAUCUCUGGGCCAUUACUGACGCUGAGGAGCGAAAGCGUGGGGAGCGAACAGGAUUAGAUACCCUGGUAGUCCACGCCGUAAACGUUGGGAACUAGGUGUUGGCGACAUUCCACGUCGUCGGUGCCGCAGCUAACGCAUUAAGUUCCCCGCCUGGGGAGUACGGCCGCAAGGCUAAAACUCAAAGGAAUUGAC
rnacentral:rRNA from 1 species